rnacentral:rRNA from 1 species
CCAAUAGCGUAUAUUAAAGUUGUUGCAGUUAAAAAGCUCGUAGUUGAACUUCGGGAUUCACCCAUUGGUCAGGCUUAAUUGUCUGUACUGGUGAGAUGAGUCUCUACCUUCUGAGGAACUUUCAUGCCAUUUAUUUGGUGUGGUUGGAAAUCAGGACUGUUACUUUGAAAAAAUUAGAGUGUUUAAAGCAGGCUAACGUCUGAAUACAUUAGCAUGGAAU